rnacentral:rRNA from 1 species
AACACAUGCAAGUCGAGCGGUAGCACAGGGGAGCUUGCUCCCUGGGUGACGAGCGGCGGACGGGUGAGUAAUGUCUGGGAAACUGCCUGAUGGAGGGGGAUAACUACUGGAAACGGUAGCUAAUACCGCAUAACGUCGCAAGACCAAAGAGGGGGACCUUCGGGCCUCUUGCCAUCAGAUGUGCCCAGAUGGGAUUAGCUAGUAGGUGGGGUAAUGGCUCACCUAGGCGACGAUCCCUAGCUGGUCUGAGAGGAUGACCAGCCACACUGGAACUGAGACACGGUCCAGACUCCUACGGGAGGCAGCAGUGGGGAAUAUUGCACAAUGGGCGCAAGCCUGAUGCAGCCAUGCCGCGUGUGUGAAGAAGGCCUUCGGGUUGUAAAGCACUUUCAGCGAGGAGGAAGGUGGUGAACUUAAUACGUUCAUCAAUUGACGUUACUCGCAGAAGAAGCACCGGCUAACUCCGUGCCAGCAGCCGCGGUAAUACGGAGGGUGCAAGCGUUAAUCGGAAUUACUGGGCGUAAAGCGCACGCAGGCGGUUUGUUAAGUCAGAUGUGAAAUCCCCGGGCUCAACCUGGGAACUGCAUUUGAAACUGGCAAGCUAGAGUCUCGUAGAGGGGGGUAGAAUUCCAGGUGUAGCGGUGAAAUGCGUAGAGAUCUGGAGGAAUACCGGUGGCGAAGGCGGCCCCCUGGACGAAG